rnacentral:snRNA from 1 species
GGAUGUUAGGGUGAUCUGGCUAUGACAUCUGUCACCCUUGUGAUCACCAGGGUUGAUUCAGCUCACCUGGCUGGGUCGGCAGGUGUCCCCUUCCUCCCUCACCACUCCGUGUAUGUCCCUUCCAAAGCUGUGUGCUUGGUCAAAGAGGACAGUUGAUCCUGAAUAGAGGAGAACCUGUCUUCAUUCAUGUGCACAAAAGCAGCUGUGCCCCCUUGCUAGAACCUCCAAACAAGCUCUCAAUAUAUGUUCUUUGGUUUGCAUGUUUAGUAGUUUAAUUAUAAUAUGGCAAGGAGAGGUUCUUUCCUGGUUUUGUCUGUUUGGCAUUCUAAAGGCUUCCUGUAUCU